CCCUCACAAUCAAUCGGAAGAGUGAAUGUCAAGCACACAAAACGUCCAAUUUCAUUCAAUCACGACUGAAGAGCCUGCAUAACCCCCAUUAAAUCGUUCUCUCAAAUCCCCCUUGCAGGUCCAAAUCCCCCUUGCAGGUCCAGGUUUCCGCGACAGUGACUACGCGCAGGUUCCCCACCUCACUAAGCCCCUUUAUUGAAGUUAAAAAAUUUCAAAGAUCCCAAUCAAAGAAAAUCAACAACCCCUUCAAAGAUCCCACUCAGAUUAUUGUUUAUCAUCAAUUGGCAUCUGGGUGUGUCAAGAAUUUCUUGCAUAAGUGGUUGUUGUAUCAAAGAUUCUACCUUCUCACCAACACAAACAACGAUAAUUCCUUUAAGCUUUCAUCAAUGGCGCUUCAAGAUCUGCUGAUGUCAUACAAACAAGAAAGAGGUUGAGCUAGAUAGAUACUGAUUCCUAAUGGCAGCAGUUUUACGCAACGGUCGUGUACAUGCCUGGACCAAGUUUUUGGAUGUUCGGAAUUCAUUUGCUCAAUUUUAAGUCGAAACAUUGAUAACCAAGGUGUUCCAGGGAGUCCGGCCAGUGGGAGUCAUGAAAGCGGUUGUGAACACUCGAAUUCCAACAUCGGAGAGCAGGAUAGGAGCUAACAUAA